GAUGAACGCUGGCGGUGUGCCUAAUACAUGCAAGUCGAACGAACGGACGAUAAGCUCGCUUCUUUGAUGUUAGCGACGGACGGGCGAGUAACACGUGGAUCACCUACCUAUAAUACUGGGAUAACUACGUGAAACCGGAUCUAAUACCAGAGAAUAUUUUGAACGGGAUAGUGCAAAAGUUAAUGGCAGUUUUGCCGACUCAAAUAGCUGGAUCCGGGCUGCAUUAGCUAGUUGGUAAGGUAACGGCUUACCAAGGAGACGAUGCGUAGCUGAGCUGAGAGGAUGAUCAGCCACACUGGAACUGAGACACGGUCCAGACUCCUACGGGAGGCAGCAGUGGGGAAUCUUGCACAAUGGGCGCAAGCCUGAUGCAGCCACACCGCGUGAGUGAUGAAGGUCUUCGGGUUGUAAAGCUCUUUUAUUAGGAAAGAAAAGCUGCAUGUGUAUCCCUCGAUAUUUUGACGGUACCUAAACAGAAAGCACCGGCUAACUACGUG
rnacentral:rRNA from 1 species